AGGCCGUGCCGAUAAUAUAUAUAUAUAUAUGUACGAAACGCCGCCGCUCCGCUUAACCAGCGACGAACAAGACGUAAACGAACAGAAACUGAUCAACGACCAUUUAGAGUCUCUGACUCACAAGCGCCAUGACGCACACGACGGUGGUCACGAGCCCCAAGUUGGAUCCAGCCCUCUACGAGAAGAUGCAGCACACAGACCCGCUGCCGCAGUCGGAAAGUGUGCUUCUGCCCUCCAAGACGGUCCUAACUCCAGUGCGCAAGUCAGACAAAAGCCGGCUGCCCCUUUGCGUCGACAAGGGCGCCUCAAAGGAGAACGAGGAGGAGGAACAGAAGAUGGGGCCGCUUCUGCGAAUUGCGACGACAGAGGUGCCGUCGCGCACUGGCGUCAUGACGCCACUGUCAUCGCGGCAUCUCUCGGUUUCCUGCGUCCCUGUGGAGGCGACGACCUGUGCAAAUCGACCUCUGGCCAGAGCUCCCCAGAGACUCUGCAUAGGUCGAGUAGCGGCGCUGCGUCCACCAAACGACACGUCGGUUCCCGGCGCCGCCGUGCGCGAUGGCCAGAGCUUCUUGCUUGACAGAUGCAAGCCUACCGCCAGAGACAUGGUGGUGGAGCUGCACGUCUACGACCUCUCACAUGGACAUCUGAAGCGGUAUGGGCAGGAGUUGGUUGGCCUAGAAAUGCCCGGCGUCUAUCACUCCGGCAUUGUAUGCUACGGGGUCGAGGUGUACUUUGAGGGCGGCAUCGGCAUCGCCGCGGCGGGCCGCACGCGUUUCGGUAGCAAGUACCGCACGCACAACCUCGGCGUGACAAAGAAGCCUGUCUCAGAGUUCUUCCGGUGGAUCGGUGUGCGGGCCAUUCACGUUAAUCAGAUCCACGACUACCACCCGGUGCGGCACAACUGCCAUCACUUCUCCCACGAGGCAGCGCGGUUUUUGCUUGGCGAGAGCGUGUCCAUUCCAAAGUAUCUCUUCAGCACCGUGGACAAUCUUGUGAAGACGGAGGUUGGGGCUUCCGUUGCGGAGGUCAUGACUCUUACCACCCACGGCAUGCAGAGUAGCAUCGCGCGGCAGAUGCGCUCCCGCACCUUGGAGCGGCAGUGCAGCAUCGAUAUGCAACUCAGCGCCUCGACAGCCUGCGGUGUCAUGACACUGCCGCCGACGGCAGCAGUGCUCUUUCGUCCCAGCGACCUCCACCUUGCAAAACGGCUUGUCCUUGACCUCAGCCCGUACGUGAAGGGGCUAAUCAAGAGAAAGCACAUGAAGCCCGCUGCAUUGGCGGUGCUGGAAGGGAUGGCAUGCGCGCUGAUGGAGGGCACUGAUUCCCUUGCGCCGAAGCUGCUGUUGAACUACGUGGAGAUAGUCACGGAGUCUCUCUUGCGCAGCCCGUUGGUGACCUGGGGGCCUAUCUUCAACGGUCUCCGAGUGGCAGUGCUGCAUAAGUUGUGCCUCAUCAACUGUGUAUUUCACACGAACCUGAUGUCGAUGCUGAUGCUCGCGGCGCGCGACUUUCUCCGCUUAUUGCCCGACGGGCGCGUGGCGUUCCUUCGGCUGGCGUGCAACUUUGCCUGCGGCGCCUACGGCGCUAUCGUCUACAGCGAAACUCGAUACCGCGAUGCCUGGGUGUCGAUCGUUGGCCUAGGCCUCAUGGAUAGCAGCAGUAUUGUCGUGUACACAGCUGCGUGCCUGGCCUUGAACCUAGCGCUCGGCAUUGUCACCACUUCAAAUCUGCCCCUGAAGCGUGACAUGACGCAGCAGGCCGACGAACACUACGCGCUGCGGCUCGUGACGCUUCUGCUGUACAACCUACGCCACCGCAGCGCAGAUCAGCUGCCGGAGCCGUCCUUCAACAUGAUCUUGAUGGCACUCUACCGGCUUGCCUCCAGCAACACAGCGGCGCUGGAGUACGUCGUGUCACACCCCUUCAAGCCACGGUACAGCGAGCUCCUCGACCGGUGUGGUUCGAACGAAAGCCGGGCCCUCGUGUGCCUCCUCCAAACCCUAGAAGAUCUUUACGCAUAAAUCUCUACUGCUACGACCGACUGGUUCCUGAAUCACCGCGGAAGGUUUUUUUUGUUGCUUGCUGACUCAGUGAAAACUCUCUGCGGUCGCGCCACUUCCCCACCCUCUCCCUCUGCUUUAUUCUGUGGCAGCGGGUAUUCUACUCCCCCGAUGACCGGGCACCCACGGCAUUGCACGCUGUCUCAGAGCCCAGCGGCCUCCCCCCUCUCUUCCCACUCCUUUUGGGGAAGCCAAGCAGCCCACCCGACUCUCCCCCUGCUAUCAUCCGCCAAAUGCCGAGCCACCUCUGGCUGUGGCACGAUCAGGCACCUACGACGUAAGGCAGCGAGGGUGGAGGAGGAGGAGGAGGAGGGGGUCUGAGCGGUGCAUCGCUGCUGACGUCGGCGGUCCGGUGCUGGACGGCGUGGCGUCGCAGCGGCCCGCGAUCGUGUCAGCAGGGCGGCGCCAUCCAUAGGAGUUUAGGCGGCGUGCCAGCGUGGCUCGGACGUAUCCCCUCCCCCCGCCACCCCUCCCCUCGGCCCUCACACGGCCUACUAGUGUGGGUGGGUGGGUGGGGGGCUGAGUGCCACCGCCGAUGAGGGGGCAGGGAUGCGCCAGGGGUAGCGACGGGGCAUGAUGGACGCGGCUGUGAGGGACCCUGCGCUGCGGGCCUCUGGGUAUGGUUUGAGGCGGAGGCGGUGUUCCGAUGACAGAGUCGGCGCGUUGCUGUAAGGCUAUUGCAGCGCUGCUUCGCACGACGCGAUGGGGAGGAGGGGGCCUGCGGCAGGCCGGGUGCCGAGUGAAGUGUAACGCAUGCUCUGCAGCAGAGAACGGGCACGCUGAACGGAAAAACGAAAGGGGUGCAAUCAUCAUGCCGUUUGUUAACCACUGCUCGCUCUCGUCGUAUGGUACCGCAUCGGGUGCGUGCUUGCGGGAGCGGGGAAGGCGGCAAAACAAGUGGAGCUGUGAGAGACUUGCUGGUGCGCACGCUGUUAGAGCUCGAG
rnacentral:misc_RNA from 1 species